GACAUUGACUCUUCUUCUGGUGUGGGCGCUGUUUCAGACAGUCUUUCACCCAGAUCUGUUCAGCACCCAGCUGCUGGUGGACGUUACAAUCUCAGGCCCAGACGUUGCCCCAGAAUUACGUCUGGCUGGAACAACAAAAGAUGGACUAAUGAUUUUCACACAACCAGGCUUGAUCUGAAGUGAAAUGUUUUGGUUAAACCUGUUUGAUGCUAUCUUGUUGCAUUGCUAUUUUGAGUCAUGAUAUGUAGAUGUUUCUGUUUGCUCUACUUAAUCCAGUUUUAUGGCUCUUUAGUGCGUUAUGGUUCAUUCUUGACAUUUACUAAAAAAAAAAAAAGAAAACUGAUUUUCCACUGUACAUAUUCAUCCUAUUUUCACCAGAUUCAUUUUUGACUGGUCUUUUGCCCUGUGUGUGUGCCGAUCUUAACUAUAACCUCUAUGUAUAGGGUUCUGUUAGGUGUGGUGUGUGCUUUUUCAGCUGUGUACGGCUGAGGACAGCCUUUUUCUCACCAGGGGGGACUAUGUAACAGUUGCUAUUGUAAUGCAGUGUAUCACCACAUGGCGGCGCCUUCUGUCUCAUGACUGGUGUGUCACCCCCUUUUUGUUCUUCUUCGUACUCUCCCUGUAAUGGAUGCUCCCGUGUGUACGCGGACUAGUGUGCUCUCGUGUAAUGUGUGGUAGAGGUAACACUUUUAUUUUUGAUAUUGUAAAUAAAUGAGUACUUUUGGAAAGUCAGAAGCUGUUGCUCAUUCGCUAUCCACCUGCACACCUCCGCGGCUGGCUUCAUCUCCACCGCACGUUACAACUAUCCAAGCAGAGAGUGAUGUCUUCAUUGCCAAAAAUGGCAAAUUAAAGGCUGGACAAGCUGCAGUUACCACAGCAGGCAAACUACCUUGCAUGAAGCUGAUUCAUUUGUGAGCUCUGGAAUAUUCAACUUUCCAGUCUCAAUUUGUGCUGAUGUUGUAGUCACCACAAUCAAAAAGUACAUUGAACAUAAGAACCCCACAAGUCCUCCAUUUGAAAUACACCUGGUAAACAACGAUGAUCCAACCGUGAAGGAAAUGGAAAGGGCCUUCAAAGAGAUCCUUUUGGAGCCACUCUCUGAUGUCAGGAGGACAGGGCCAGAGGAUUCUCCAUCUACACUGGAAAGGACAGAGCACCUUGAGAGAAACACAACCGGUGUGACAAAGGACACUGCAUCACAGGUCAUUGAAAGUCUCCUGCACCACUGGGCCAUUCGGCUGAAUCUGGGGAAUAAUAUCUACAUUAUGAACCACUACACGAGCGGUGUGAUCCUCUAUGGAGAGAGAGAACCAAUCAGGAGACAAAGCUUGUCCAAGGUGAACUUUGACAGCUACCGAGCCAUUUUAUCCUUUGUGAACAUUGGAAAUGUACACUGGAAGUUUCUGUACAUAAAUGCAGAUGACAGCUGUCUGUAGUUGGUCGAUCCUUCAAGAAACUCUUUGGAGCAGGAAGAGUCUGACCGUGCAGCCAAAGGAUUCCAUGAAUCCUUCAAAAUGAGGAGGACAUGCUACAACAAAACAGACUGGGUGAAUGUGAGACUUCGAGGAGGAGUACUGACACAUCCAUUUCAACGGGAUGGUUCUAGCUGCGGGGUAAUGGUCAUCAUGAUGGCCAAAGCAGUAAUGGAAGCAUUCCCAAAUAAACCAGAAAUGACAUUUUUGAGGACAAAAAAAGAGAUGGCCCAGGCACGAAGGACAUUUGCACAGACAAUACUUGAGGCCUCCGUAUUUGACAGUGACACCAACUGUGCCAUGUGUGCAACGGAGAAACCACCCAAUCCAGGACCCUCCAUCACUGACUGGAUCCAGUGUGAUAACUGCAACUGCUGGUUCCAUUCUGAAUGGCUGGACAUGACAAAUGAACAGCUCAGCAGCGCUCAGAAGACAGAGUGGAAGUGUGUGCUUUGUGUAACCUAAUUCCACAUGCAGUGAAAGCUACUAGAAUAAUCUGCUUAUAGUUAUUAUUGGUGUUUUGAGGAACACAUGUGUAAAACACAAUGUGUAUAACAUUCUUGCUUUGUGCACCUACUUUAAGUAUUUCCUUUUUGAUUUUUUUGGGGUUGAUUUGUGUGAUGACAGAUAAUGAAUAACAAUAUAUCAAAACUGUAUAAUAGUAAUAUGAGAAAUCAGUAAUCUGAGAAAUGUAAUUUCUCACCCCAACCGGUCGCAGCAGAUGGCCCCGCCCCUCCCUGAGCCUGGUUCUGCCGGAGGUUUCUUCCUGUUAAAAGGGAGUUUUUCCUUCCCACUGUCGCCAAAGUGCUGCUCAUAGGGGGUCAUAUGAUUGUUGGGUGUUUCUCUGUAUGUAUUAUUGUAAGGUUUAACUUAUUAUGUAAAGUGCCUUAAGGUGACUACUGUUGUGAUUAAGCGCUGAAUAAAUAAUGUCUAAAACUAAAGUUGCUACUUGAAGUGGUGUGUGAAAAUAUUUUCAUAAUAAUGACGUUUUGAAAAUGUAAAUUUUGUGUGGAAAUAUAUUUCUUGUAGUUAAGCAAAUACUUGAAUGAACUCAUUUUGUUCAGUAAUGGAUUAGGAUUUAAUUUUAUCAGAAAACAGUACAGUAAUUUGGGUAACGUUUACUAUCAAUUUUCUGGAAAACCGUACAGUAAAUUUGGCUGUGGAUGACAGGGUGAAGAGUGGGGGUCACCCAGAGUCAGAAUCCAGUGAGAUAUCUGUGUCACCUCUUACAGUUUAUAUGUAAUCUGAUGUCAAAGAUGAAGAUAUUAACAGUACAGUACUGUAUAUUGGGUAAAUUUUAUUGUUAAUUUUCUCUGAAUCGUACAGUAAUUUGGGCUUUGGAUCAUGGGGUGAAAAGUGGAGAUGAACCAAAACUGGGAGUGGAUUGUGAAGUAAAAUAGUGUCAGGACACAAAAGACUGCGUUUCUAAGCCGCUCUUCAUCCGUACCGUAAUAUGCGUAAGAGUAGUGCAACCACAUUUUAGGUGCGGCUGGCGGUGCGGCUAGCUUGACUGUCACUUCGUAAGUGAGGGCUCACUUGACCGCAGUUAAAUCACGGACAAACUAUCCCACAGUUGUUUAUGUUUUUAAACCCAUUUUGCACAGAGAGGCAUUUUUUGAAAAAUGUAUUGAUAGCAAUGUUGAAUAUUAUUACACAGG